rnacentral:rRNA from 1 species
UAGCGUAGGGGGCAAGCGUUUGUCCGGAUUUAUGGGCGUAAAGAGCGUGUAGGCGGCUUUACAGGUCCGUUGUGAAAACUCGAGGCUCAGCCUCGAGCGCCGGAUGGAACCGUGAAGGCUAGAGUCCGGAAGAGGAGAGUGGAAUUCCGGGGUGUAGCGGUGGAAUGCGUAGAGAUCCGGAAGAACACCGGUGGCGAAGGCGGCCUGCUGGGACAUGGCUGACGCUGAGGCGCGACAGCGUGGGGAGCAAACAGG